rnacentral:misc_RNA from 1 species
CCCUAUCGUAACCCUCCCUCCACAGGCAUCAACAGCUUCCAUCGCUCGCUUCCUCACAUCUGCAGGCAAUUUAUCACUCUCGACGACACCUCCAGGUCUAAUUCCUGUGGGAAAAUCCAUGCUCGCCCUCACGGAGGCCGCAGAAGCCCUAGAGUUGGCAAAUUUGGAGGGAAUUCUGACGAAAUGAAGUGGCUGGAUACUAGUAAAAGAAUCGGGAGGUUUAAGACGAAAUGAGGUUUUCGAAGUGAAAAUUGGAUGAGAACAUAGGAUGCGAGAUUUGGCGGAAACAGUGAAGCAUGUGGAUAUAGAGGCCAUUUUGAUUUUCUUUGGGUAUUCUUCUAGCAAAAUUUGAAAGGUUUUGCCAUAAGAGAUGAGAGGAGGAAGCUGUUAAAGCAAGCAAGCAAGCAGCAGCGACGAGAACAGCCUGAGUGGCUUAGAAAUUAG